rnacentral:rRNA from 1 species
GACGAACCGUGCGAACGUUGUUCGGAUUCACUGGGCUUAAAGGGUGCGUAGGCGGUCGGGUAAGUCGGAUGUGAAAUCCCAGGGCUCAACCCUGGAACUGCAUUCGAUACUGCCUGGCUAGGGUACUGGAGAGGAGACUGGAAUUUACGGUGUAGCAGUGAAAUGCGUAGAUAUCGUAAGGAAGACCAGUGGCGAAGGCGAGUCUCUGGACAGUUACCGACGCUGAGGUACGAAGGCCAGGGGAGCAAACGGG